UACGGAGGGUGCGAGCGUUGUCCGGAAUCACUGGGCGUAAAGGGCGCGUAGGCGGCCCGUCAAGCGUGUGGUGAAAGCCCGGGGCUCAACCCCGGGUCGGCCGUGCGGACUGGCGGGCUCGAGCACUGUAGGGGCGGGUGGAAUUCCGGGUGUAGCGGUGGAAUGCGUAGAGAUCCGGAAGAACACCGGUGGCGAAGGCGGUCUGCUGGGCAGUAGCUGACACUGAGGCGCGACAGCGUGGGGAGCAAACAGG
rnacentral:rRNA from 1 species